rnacentral:rRNA from 1 species
UGGGGAAUAUUGCACAAUGGGCGCAAGCCUGAUGCAGCCAUGCCGCGUGUAUGAAGAAGGCCUUCGGGUUGUAAAGUACUUUCAGCGGGGAGGAAGGGAGUAAAGUUAAUACCUUUGCUCAUUGACGUUACCCGCAGAAGAAGCACCGGCUAACUCCGUGCCAGCAGCCGCGGUAAUACGGAGGGUGCAAGCGUUAAUCGGAAUUACUGGGCGUAAAGCGCACGCAGGCGGUUUGUUAAGUCAGAUGUGAAAUCCUCGGGCUCAACCUGGGAACUGCAUCUGAUACUGGCAAGCUUGAGUCUCGUAGAGGGGGGUAGAAUUCCAGGUGUAGCGGUGAAAUGCGUAGAGAUCUGGAGGAAUACCGGUGGCGAAGGCGGCCCCCUGGACGAAGACUGACGCUCAGGCGCGAAAGCGUGGGGAGCAAACAGG